UCACUUACCUGGACGGGGUCAAUGUCCAUGGCCUAGGUUGGUGACCUCCAUUGCACUCAGGAGGGGUGCCCGCUAAGGUCGGCCCAAGUGGUUGAGCCUACGUCAUAAUUUGUGGUAGUGGAGGCCUGCGUUCGCGCGACCUCUGC
rnacentral:snRNA from 1 species